rnacentral:tRNA from 2 species
GGAGGGAUGGCUGAGUGGUUGAAAGCGGCGGUCUUGAAAACCGCUGUAGGCGUGAGCCUACCGGGGGUUCGAAUCCCUCUCCCUCCGCCA